CCGCUAAUCCAUGAAAGGUAGCUACGACAAAGCUAAGAAAACACAGCGCUGCGAUACAUUGCGUAAUGGCAAUAGACCAGCAGGAGUAAAGAUCGUUUGUCUGCAGUGGUAUAUCAAACACUAGUGAUAUUAGUGUCAAACAUGAGAGUAUUAAGGACUUGCUGGUUGCCUGAGUAUCACUAAAACAAAAUAAAGAAUGGUAGAGAUUUCAUUUUGACCCAUCGGUGGCUGCGGGGUUGCCUUCACUGGUGGAUGAUGGUGUGGUGGUUUGGUCACUCUUAUGUCUUUUUCUUUAGGUCUGCAGUGUGAUUUGCUGUGAGUGGAUUGCAGUGCGAGCACAUUUGUCUAACACAUUGUCUUCACACGAAUAGGUAACCUGUGGCCAUCCGGGGGUCGCUUUGUUUUAUUUUGGUUUAUUUCUUUUUGAUUUCUUUGUGGGUAUCUGCAUUGGAGAUUUGCGUUACAUCCUUAUGUCUCUAUUUGUUUGAAUAAAAGUGUUUUUGAGUUAAAACUUCA